UACGAAGGGGGCUAGCGUUGCUCGGAAUUACUGGGCGUAAAGCGCACGUAGGCGGCUUUGUAAGUUAGAGGUGAAAGCCCGGAGCUCAACUCCGGAACUGCCUUUAAGACUGCAUCGCUUGAAUCAUGGAGAGGUCAGUGGAAUUCCGAGUGUAGAGGUGAAAUUCGUAGAUAUUCGGAAGAACACCAGUGGCGAAGGCGACUGACUGGACAUGUAUUGACGCUGAGGUGCGAAAGCGUGGGGAGCAAACAGG
rnacentral:rRNA from 1 species